rnacentral:rRNA from 1 species
UACGAAGGGUGCGAGCGUUAUUCGGAAUAACUGGGUGUAAAGAGUGUGUUGGCGGUUUUUUAAGUCAGUUGUUAAAGCGCUCAGCUUAACUGGGCAAAGGCAAUUGAAACUGAAAAGCUAGAGUGUGGGAGAGAAAGGUAGAAUUCUCGGAGUAGCGGUAAAAUGCGUAGAUCUCGAGAGGAAUACCGGUUGCGAAGGCGGCCUUUUGGCCCACUACUGACGCUUAAGCACGAAAGCGUGGGGAGCAAACAGG